GACGAUAUGGCGCUGACGCAAAAGGCGGAACAAAUGUGCCCCAACAUUCUAGUCGGACCCUUUAACUCAAACCUUUAGAGUGUUACACCGCGUGAGGCUGGCUGACACAUGGCUGAAGCCGAACGAUUCCAACCUACCAAUUACCUGACGAGAGGAAGAAGCAAGAACCACGAAGAAUUAAAGAAACACUUCCAUGAUGCUGCAGGCAGCACGGGAUACAUUUCUUGGCAUCUGAAAGCAAUCCAACGCAAGAUUUGUCGAGGAUCUGCACCAUCACCAAAUAGCCCUAUGGACACUUCUCCCAAAUGUCCAGCGAGCUGUUAAUGUACAAAGACAGCUGGAUGGGGAUGCUUGCCAAGGGGUUAUGUCUUUGCUCAACCAUACCACAGACAAUUCCCUGAUUUUUCAGAAAAUGAGAGAAACCUUUCAGCACCGUCAGACGCUUGUUAAUGACCCAAGCAGAGGUGUUGAUAUCCUCUCCACCAUCCCAAGAUUCCUGGAUACCAAAGGAUUGGUGGAUCAAGACUUCACUCUCCUAUUUGAUCAUGAAACAUCCUCCAGGCUCCUUCAGAAAUGGGAUGUGUUCUUCAGUCCAAAUGUCAUGAAAGAGGCUAAGUGGCUUACUUCAGCACCCAGAGUUGCGUCGCUUGUUGCAGAGAGUCCCACAGGAAGUGAUCUUGAUGAGACAACAAUCAUGCUGCAGUUUGGAGGAGCAUCUCCGCAACCAGCAGGGUCGGCAGCCAUACCUCCUCGCUGUUGGGCGUCAGAAGAGCAAGAUUGACAGCUUCUACAUCACCAUGGAUAAGCAUCUCAUCCCACGGCAGGCAAACCGUUCCCUACCUUGGGGCUUUCGACAAACUUUCCAAAACCCAUUUUGUGUUUAAUUUGUCGUACGAUGCUGCGUUACUGAAUUUUUACCCAUUCUUGCAGGACAACAGUGUAUAACAUUGAUGUGGGGAAAAUAAAGGAGUCACCCAGAGUCAGAGACUGCUUGAAGACUGCUUGACCAGCUAGUACCGGUCUCACUCUCUGAGUAAGAGGCUAAAACAAUACUGACCGGUUUCAUGUGUCAGAAUGUGUAUCCCAGCAGCCAGAAGUUGAUGGUGUUAUACUGGAACCGUUGAUAAAUUAUAUAAAAUUACUGAAAACCCAAGGCCUUAGUCUUAGUAGUGUUUGAUUGAGAGGAAUGAUUCUCAAACAGUAUACUGUGAGGAAGAUCCCAAAGUGAUCCUUCGUGGAAAACAUAUGUUUGAUAUGCAUUACAAAUGUCUCCAAGACAAUCCACAAUUGAAUUCCUUGCAUGGUUUGAAAAAGACUUCUACACUUAACUCAUUGAAUUAUUUCCAUGUUUGAAAUAAUUACUAAUUUGAUAUAAUGCAUGACCUUCUUGAGGGUGUGACUCAGUGUGAGAUCAAAUUGCUUUUUGAAUAUCUCACAAAAGACUUAAUAUCACAACAGAAUUUGCUUUCCGGGAUUUAUGGUGUUGACUACGGAUUUGUAAAACGAAAGAAAUGUCCCACAAAGAUAAUUUUGGACAGUGCUGGCAAUGGCAUUGGUUUGAAUUCUAUUCAGACAUUGUGUCUUGUGAAAAACAUCCCACUGUUUGGUGACAUCAUUCCUGCAGGAAACGAAAACUGGAAUGUGUUACUUGUUGUUACUUAAAAUAAUGAACAUGGUUGUGUCACUUUUUCUCACUCUAGGUACGACAAUAUAUUUAAAGCAUUUGAUUGUUGACCACCACAAACUAUUUAAGUACUUGUAUCCACAUAGAAACUUGCUACCGAAGCAUCAUUUUAUGACCCACUGUAUAUGUGGUCUAUGAGGUGUGAAGCCAAAGACAAGAUGUUUAAAGAUUAUUUCAAAAACAUAACAAAAUCACUUGCGAAUAAGCAUCAGAUGGCUAUUGCUUAUCACUGGGAAACCUUCACCCUCAAAUAAAAAGAGUAUGGUCCAAUUAAGACUUAUUCCCUCAGAGACGUGAAUGUGGUCAACAAUGAAAUGCUUGAAAUGAUUUUGUCAAAAGAUGUUUUCUCAACUAGUUGGGUUAAAGUUGAUGGUGUGUAGAAUAUACAUGUGGACUUGUUUUGUCUUUUGUCAAAUAUGUGAUGUACUUUUGGUUGAAGGUAACACAUUUUGUUUAUUAACAAACAAGCUAUUCACUGAGAAUUCUUUUGAUGACCAUCAUCGUGCAUUUCGAGUGUUACAAAGUGAGGAAAGGUUCAUAAUAAAAAUGUCUGAGCUUAAAUUCCAUAAGCCAUUUUAUAGCCAAAGCUCAUACAA
rnacentral:lncRNA from 1 species